UUGAACGUUGGCGGCAGGCCUAAACAUGCAAGUCGAACGGUAACAGCGAGAGCUUGCUCUCGGCUGACAAGUGGCGAACGGGUGAGUAACACGUAGGAAUCUACCCAGUAGUGGGGGACGAACCCGGGAAACCCGGGCGUAAUACCGCAUACGCCCUCUUAUUGAAAGAUAGGGGAGGGAAGACGGGGGAGUCUUCGGACCUCGCGCUAUUGGAGGAGCCUGCGUCGGAUUAGCUAGUUGGUAGGGUAAAGACCACCAAGGCGACGAUCCGUAGCUGGUCUGAGAGGACGAUCAGCCACACUGGAACUGAGACACGGUCCAGACUCCUACGGGAGGCAGCAGUUAGGAAUCUUGGGCAAUGGGCGCAAGCCUGACCCAGCAAUACCGCGUGAGGGAUGAAGG
rnacentral:rRNA from 1 species